UACGGAGGGUGCAAGCGUUAAUCGGAAUUACCGGGCGUAAAGCGUGCGCAGGCGGUUUGUUAAGUCUGCUGUGAAAUCCCCGAGCUCAACUUGGGAAUUGCAGUGGAUACUGGCAAGCUGGAGUACGGUAGAGGAAGGUGGAAUUCCCGGUGUAGCAGUGAAAUGCGUAGAGAUCGGGAGGAACACCAGUGGCGAAGGCGGCCUUCUGGACCAGUACUGACGCUCAUGCACGAAAGCGUGGGGAGCAAACAGG
rnacentral:rRNA from 1 species